UGUCAUCCAGGCGUUUGU
rnacentral:misc_RNA from 1 species